ensembl:lincRNA
CUGAGGGCCGCUGAGGAGGCCUGUGCAGCCAUGGAGGCCCGCUGCCUGCGGGAGACCCAGAGGAGAGCCGGAGCCCUGAGCGGCCUGGGCGGCCAGAGAGAGCGGGACCUGCUCGCUCAAGCAGACAGAGAGGAGUGGGAGCAGGAGGCGAAGGUGAUGCUGGGCCUGCAGCAAGUCCUGCAGAGUUUAGGGCAGGCCGCAGAAAAGCUCAGGCAAGCGGUAGGCCGGCUGCGGGGCCAGGAGGAGGAGAUGCGGCUACAGGGCAGCAGGGAUCAACGCCCACAGGUCUGGAGCCGCUCCAGGAAGGUGGUCCAGCACCUCUCUGAUGAGCUGCAGGAGGCGGUGAGGGAGAGGCAGAGUGCCCUGGAUAGGGCCCUUGGUCAGCUGCAGUACCAGCGGGAGCUGAGCCGCCUCCAGCUCUUGCACAUCCAGAUUGUUGCCUCGGGGACCCCUGUAUGUUUGGAGAAUUACCCUGGAGACAGGUUUUACGGAACCGUCACCACUUCUCCCAGGGACCAGGCUGCUGCCUGCCCCCUGCUGAUUCCCUUCCUGAAGAGCCUCACUGCAGCGCUAGUGGGCGAUCAAGGCCACGGCCUAGGACCGGAGGAUGGGGGACCAGGAACAGAUGCAGAUAAAGUUGACUUCAUAUGGGCCUCACCACUCUUCUCUGCCCUGAGGAAAGUAGACAUCAGGUCCCAAGCUCACAAGGAUGAAGCUGAACUGCAAGGACAGGUGCAUCACAAACCAGCCCUCAAAAGCUCUUUGCAAGAUCUCCCCAAACCUCAGAUAACGCAGAAGGAAGAGCUGAUAACUGUGCCGUCCACAGACCUCUCUGCCAGGGAGUUCGUGGUUUACCAGCAUGGCCUCUCCAUCCUACACCUCCUCAUCCCCCAGCUUCAGGCUCCAAAAAUCACCCUGCAUAUUGCUUCUCGUCUUCCUACCAUGGAAGCCUCAGACAAUGCCUUCCAAGGUUCCUUCUUCUAUCAGAGAGCUGAAAACACACUGUUUGUUGGGAGAGAGUGUUUGGCAUCGGUGGGAAGCUUUGUUCUGCUGUUGAUCCACUGUCUGGCCCACAUCGCUGCCGAUGACCUCCAUCAGGACUCCAACCCCGCCUUUCUGAGGUCAUUUUACAAGGGGCUGAAGGCCUACUUCAGGGAAGCAUUCUCUAUCACUCUGCGAAUGUCGACAGUUUCCCAGGACAGUAAACUUGGCCAAAGCAUAAGUGCUCUUCUGCUGGGAGAGCAGCCCAUCUCUGAAAGAGGAAGAGACCUUCUCUCUAAACUCAUUGUAAGAAAGCAUGAGUCCCACUUGGAGCCAGAGUCGUCGGAGGAGUAUAUUAAGAAAAACAAAGAUCUUCUCCUUUUUAUCAACAUGGAACACUUCCUAAAAAGCAUCCUUGCUGCAGAGCAAAAACUCCCAAAAGAAACAAGAGAUCAACUUGGGGAUGAAGAGAAGGUGAGAUGUUCGGAUGACCUACAGCACUGAGACCAUAUUUUGCUAUAUACUUUGCAACAUUUUUGUGUGUGUUUGGGACCAUGUUUAUCAUUGAACGUGUCAGCAGAACACAAAAUUGGGAAUAAAUGGUGGUAUGAACAGGUAAUAUCAUCAGUCACUUCAAAGUUAAUCCCUCUGCUUUCAGGCAGGUCAGGUAUUAAUCUUAAAGAACUGGAGCUGAGACUUGGACUUGCCCCAGUUCACCCAGCUGGAAGAGAAUAAACAGUCACCAGAUCUACUGCCUUCUCAUUUGGGAUUUCUCCCACUGUUCCAUAGUGAUACCUACUACUGUUUUGUUUUUAAUCUGGAGCAUUUAAAACAUUGUUAUAUCUUUAAAAACCACCAAAUACUUUGGUCCCAAAGGACAAACAUUAAUAUUUUGUCACAUAUAAUUAGCAAAGAGAAAACCCCAAGCAUUAUUAUACUCAUUAUUCUAAGCAGAAUAGUGACCUAAACAUGUUGAGAUCAAGAUCAGCAACAACCUAGAGAUGUAUGUAGCUGAGCACCAACUCUAAUCCUGGGCUCCAGUCUGUUUCAAAGUUAUCACCAGUAUCUGGGGUGAAAACUACAUUUUUAUUACAUUAUUUUAUUGCAUUGUUUCAAGAUCACACAACUUUACAAGUACACAUAUCAUUAAUGGACACCUCAUGAAACCAUCCAAACGAGCAUUUCCAUGUAAGCAUCCAGACCAGCUUCCAGCAGCACCCACGUCUCCCCUGCCAGGAAGGGUGACUGGCAGGCCACCAUCCUGACUCCAAACCUUGUAAAUUGUUUUUGCUUAUUCAUGAAUUUUACACCAAUAGAAUCAUAAAAUAUGAAUUCUUUCUUCUUCAAGUUUGUGAGAUUUAUCCAUAUUGUUGCAGGUAGUUGUAGUUUGUUGAUUCUCUUUGUUGUAAAGUAUUCUGUGGUGCAGACAUAUCUUAAUUUAUUCACCAUGUACUGAUCUACAGGUGGGUGUUUUCCAGCUUGGAGUUAUAUAAAUAGUUCUGUGCACCUUUUGAUGACUAUACCUAGUCAGGUAUUAACUUAGAACAAGUGCUGGGUCUGAGGAUAUGGAUAUGCUCAACGUUAGUACAUACCAUCAACCCGCGUUCCUAAGUGAUCACACGUGGCCACCAGCCAUGGAUCAAAGUUCUAACUGCUCUCCAUCCUUAUCAGAACUAGCAUUUCCCAUCUUUUUUACUUUAUCCAUUCUCUUGGGUGUGAGUUUUUAAUUUUCAUUUUCCUAAUGGCCAGUGGGCAGAAGGAAAUGGCAACCUACUCCAGUGUUCUUGCCUGGAGAAACCCAGGGAUGGAGGAGCCCGGUGGGCUGCCGUCUAUGGGGUCGCACAGAGUCAGACACGACUGAAGCGACUUAGCAGCAGCAGCAAUGGCCAGUGGAACUGAGCAUCUUUCAUGUAUUUAUGCAGCAUUUGAAAGUCCUCUCUCUAGAGAUGCCUGUUCAAGUAGUCUUUUGCUGAUUUGUCAUUGGAUCCCCUCUUUUUAAUUGAUUUGCAGGAAUUUUUUAUUCUGCAACUAUUUUUCCUCAUUCUGUAGAAUGCCAUUUUAUAGAAAUAACUACAUGUUUCUUUUACUGUUUUAUUUUUAUAUCUAGAAAAAUAAAAAAUAAGUCUGCAUUUUUAAAAGUUGUUAAAUAUGUCAGUAUGCCAUCCAAUGAAGCUGAUAAGAGAACAUGAAUGUAAAAAUCACAUAAACAUAUAUAAUAAUUUGGGGUAGAUAUAUAACAUAAUGGGCUAGUUCUUGACACAGAAGAAAAGCAUGCUGAUAGUUUCACUGUGACUAAAAGAUUAGAUCGUGUAUAUCAUUAUCAUAUUCAUUUAGAGAUAUAGGCUAAACCUCUUUAAAAAAUGUAAAAUUUGUAUAUAUCAU